CUACGGGGGGCACCAGUAAGGAAUAUUGGUCAAUGGACGAAAGUCUGAACCAGCCAUGCCGCGUGAAGGAUGACGGCCCUAUGGGUUGUAAACUUCUUUUAUAUGGGAAGAAACCCCUCUACAUGUAGAGGGCUGACGGUACCAUACGAAUAAGCAUCGGCUAACUCCGUGCCAGCAGCCGCGGUAAUACGGAGGAUGCAAGCGUUAUCCGGAUUUAUUGGGUUUAAAGGGUGCGCAGGCGGAAAGAUGAGUCAGUGGUGAAAUCCUACGGCCUAACUGUAGAACUGCCAUUGAUACUGUCUUUCUUGAGUACAGUUGAAGUGGGCGGAAUGUGUCAUGUAGCGGUGAAAUGCAUAGAUAUGACACAGAACACCGAUAGCGAAGGCAGCUCACUAAACUGAAACUGACGCUCAUGCACGAAAGCGUGGGGAGCAAACAGGAUUAGAUACCCUCGUAGUC
rnacentral:rRNA from 1 species